GAUAGUGCAAUGGCAAAAGAAGGCUUGGACUGCGAGACUCACAAGUCGAGCAGGUGCGAAAGCAGGUCAUAGUGAUCCGGUGGUUCUGUAUGGAAGGGGCCAUCGCUCAACGGAUAAAAGGUACUCUGGGGGAUAACAGGCUGAUUCCGCCCAAGAGUUCAUAUCGACGGCGGAGUUUGGCACCUCGAUGUCGGCUCAUCACAUCCUGGGGCUGUAGCCGGUCCCAAGGGUAUGGCUGUUCGCCAUUUAAAGUGGUACGUGAGCUGGGUUCAAAACGUCGUGAGACAGUUUGGUCCCUAUCUGCCGUGGGCGCUGGAUAUUUGAGGGGGCCUGCUCCUAGUACGAGAGGACCGGAGUGGACGUAUCUCUGGUGGACCGGUUGUCACGCCAGUGGCAUCGCCGGGUAGCUAAAUACGGAAGAGAUAAACGCUGAAAGCAUCUAAGCGUGAAACUCGCCUCAAGAUGAGAUAUCCCGGG
rnacentral:rRNA from 1 species